GAUGAAGAACGCAGCGAAAUGCGAUACUUGGUGUGAAUUGCAGAAUCCCGUGAACCAUCGAGUCUUUGAACGCAAGUUGCGCCCGAAGCCAUUAGGCCGAGGGCACGCCUGCCUGGGCGUCACACGCCGUUGCCCCCCCAUCUACUCCUUCGGGAUUGCGGGGGGGCGGAUGAUGGCCUCCCGUGCGCCUAGCCGCGCGGUUGGCAUAAAUACCAAGUCCUCGGCGACGCACGCCACGACAAUCGGUGGUUGCGAAACCUCGGUUGCCCGUCGUGUGCGUUCGUCGCGCAUCGAGGGCUCGAAAAAAUGCUCGGCUCCGGCUGGGCUUUCAACGCGACCCCAGGUCAGGCGGGGUUACCCGCUGAAUUUAAGCAUAUCAAUAAGCGGAGGA
rnacentral:misc_RNA from 1 species